rnacentral:hammerhead_ribozyme from 1 species
GCACUGCUAAAGAGUCCCAUAAUAGGACGAAACAGCUGUCCAAUGU